ensembl:snRNA LOC120095486 U2 spliceosomal RNA
AUCGCUUCUCGGCCUUUUGGCUAAGAUCAAGUGUAGUAGCUAAGGAAGCAAGAAUAGUCAGGGCAUGCCAUAGCUUCUUCAUCUUUGUUGAGGGUGAAUAGCAAUAGGUAGUUUUCUCUGACCAUUGAAUAAGCGACUUAUACUUUAUUAAAGUAAAACUUUAAUCUCUUAGUCACCGGGUAUUUAUAGGUUUUUGAAUAAGCCCAAAUUUCA